rnacentral:rRNA from 1 species
AGCGAACGCUGGCGGCAUGCCUAACACAUGCAAGUCGAACGGGAUCCAAUCCUUCGGGGUAGUGAGAGUGGCGGACGGGCGAGUAACGCGUGGGAACCUGCCCAGUGGUGGGGGAUAACUGCGGGAAACUGCAGCUAAUACCGCAUGAGCCCGAGAGGGGAAAGAUUUAUCGCCAUUGGAGGGGCCCGCGUUCGAUUAGGUAGUUGGUGGGGUAAUGGCCUACCAAGCCGACGAUCGAUAGCUGGUCUGAGAGGAUGAUCAGCCACACUGGGACUGAGAUACGGCCCAGACUCCUACGGGAGGCAGCAGUGGGGAAUAUUGGACAAUGGGGGCGAACCCUCGAUCCAGCAAUGCCGCGUGAGUGAUGAAGGCCUUAGGGUUGUAAAGCUCUUUUGCCAGGGACGAUGAUGACGGUACCUGGAGAAUAAGCCCCGGCUAACUUCGUGCCAGCAGCCGCGGUAAUACGAAGGGGGCAAGCGUUGUUCGGAAUUACUGGGCGUAAA